ACAAGAGAAGCUGAAUUUGCAGGGAACGCAGCAGUGUAACGGUCCAGCUGCACCACACCGCCACUUACCCAGCACCAUUCACACGAACGAUUAGACAGAUCCUAUAAAUAUGCAAGCCUGGUGCGUAGGGGAGAAAGGGGGAAAAAAAGGGGGGGGGGGAAGAGAAGGUGUCUCCUAUCCCACAACUGUUUACUCGCCUGUAGCAGCUGGACUAAAGCAUCCCCCACGCCUAGAUGUCUCAUACGCACACUUGUCCGCACCAUUGCCAGUCCCCAGCCAGCGCUGCAGCCCUGCACAGAACAAGGCUGUACCAUGGGGUGGGGAGCCAGGCUCAUUCUAGGGAUUUUCGGGUGUUGCAAAGCCCGGACACCCCCCAAUCAUUACUGGGGGCUGUCAACCAGAGGGUCACCCACCCUCGGUCACGUUCUAGCCACGGGGACAAGGCAAAUCUCUCACCCCUAGGUCCUCUCGGCAGCGGGAGCAGCCCCCGGCGCCCAGAGCGUCCCCGCCACGCUUGCAAUGCCCCGGCGAGGGGCUCAGCGUCCCGCCCGAGCCCCGCCAAAGGGCCCUGCAGCUGCGCUCCCCUCUCCGGGACUCUUAGGAACCAGCAGCGGCUGGGAACAUCGCUCCUCCAGGGGUCCCGCCUCCUACCUGCUCUGCCUCCGCGGGGAGCCUGGCCCGCAGCCCUGCGUGCGGAUGGAGCGAACCAGCGGCGCGAGAAUCUGCGGGUCUGACCGGGCUCCUCCGCGGGCUUCUAAUUGCUGGCGCUGGGCAGGAGAGGAGGGGCUUGGGCGGGUUUGAAAGGAGCCGGGCUGCAGGGAGAAGGGGUGGAGUCGGGCAGAGCGAGCUCAAGGCGCGACUCGCGUAAAGGAGGGAGGAGAAGCCUGGGUAGGGACGGGGGAAAGGUGCUCUCCAUCGCCUGCUUGAAGCGUGGCGCUUCCCCUUUCUUCUCCUGGCUGCGAGGAAAAUACGCUUGUUAAGAGAGACCAGUGGAGAAGCUUGGGACAGGGGUUGGAUUGCGGUUGUUGCUUUGGGUUUUAAAAAAAGCACAACUCAAUGAAACCUGCAGGGAAAGCGGGUCGUGCAAAACGAGCCUUACUGCAGUUUUUAGGCUUUUUUUAGGCCCCGCCACCUGACGAUGUUGCUGAUUGCUGGCUCGGGCCACCUCGAACCCAGCAGCUUCCCCGGCCUUGAAUAUGUGAUUGCUGCUGCAGAAAUAUGCAAGCAGGGUGAAAAGCUGAGCUGUGCAGAUAACCAGAGAUGAUGGCAGCAGCUGAAUGAUCACGACAUUGGAGAUCUCAAGCAAUUGGCAGCCAAAGUUCCAGAUGAGAGAGAGAAGCAGGGUGCACAGUAGCUAACAGGAAAAAGGGGGAAAGAGAUUUUUCUUGGUGAAGAUAAUCUUUAAACUGAUGGCAUUUCAGGUGUAAGACCACAAUGAGCAUCUGGUUCUCCCCCCACGUUUCCCCAGCUCACCUGGCACAUAGCAAGGAACUGCUCUAAAUCACAUAAAAAGGAACUGAUCUAAAUCCCCAGUCCCCAAGCUACUCCGCAUGGACAGCUACUCUCCCCUGCAGAGCCCCACUGAAGUCACUGGAUAUCUAACUGCAGGAUCAACACACAAAAGGCAAGAUCAACAGAAGAUUUAUAUUCCGUGUGUACUUUAUAACAGGCUUUUAUAGCAUUUGAAAGAUAUUUCCUACUUUAGUGACAUGCCAAGACCCCACAGCAGUGGAUGAUGUCAUAAAUACUUAGAGAACAAGUAGCACCAGAUGCUUGGGACUUCAGUAUCAGCAAGGAAAUUUGAGAAUCCAGAAUUCAGGUCUGGUCAAGUAAGUGAAGAGGGCAAAAUAAUUUUUGAAGGAAGAGCCUGUAUCUGUAGUUUUUAGUCUUACACAUAUUCCAUUAUUUGGAGUCUAGAACAGCUUUAAAAAUUAUAUUAUCAAUACAUUCAAAAGUUACAUGCUGACAUGUUAUAUCAAAGGGAGUUUGUAUACACAGUAGAGUGCAGCCUUUUAGCUGAAUCAGAUCAUUGAGAAAAUGAAAGCUACUGUCGAGGUGCUGUGUCUGCCUUUUGAACUAGAGUAGCUUUGCAAGGGUUAGGAUAUUUUUUUAAUAUAUAAAGGCACUCGUGUGUGUCCUUUCAUAGCACCUUUAACUACUACCCAGAACAGGAACCAUUAAAAUGGAAAAGAGUUUAGUAUGGGACAGACACAAAUAAAUUUGUUUUUUUCUGCCCUGCUGAUUAAACAAUCAGAAUCUGGUUGAGGUGGUGGGGAGAAAGAGACAGGCAUGAGACACACACACAUAAACAGCCCUCGCAUAAAGAGCUGGUAUGGCCAGUCCACUCACCAUUAUGAUAUUAUACAGGGCAUUCUUCUCAAAGCGACAUAGCCUUGUCCCCUGAGCCCAUGACAGACUGUCCGAGAUUGCAGUAAAGAGACCUUUUGUUUGGACUCUUGGUUUUGAACUCAGAUAAGCCGGCUUGGGCCCCUUAGGGGCCUUCAUCCACAUCUCCUUUUGGAACUCCAUAGCAGGCAUCUCACUCCAGCUUUUAUUCCCUGUGGACUCAUUCUCAGAUUUAGGGUCUGCAUUGUCAUCAGACUGAUCAGAAGAUGGCUUCUUUAUUUCUUUGGCACGGGGCAAUUGGGCUGAAAAGAAUUUUUUUAAGUUAAAUGUAAAGUAACUGUAUGGGGUUGGGAUUAGGGAAAAAGGAGAACAGAAGUGUUAAGUAUUAGGGUACAGCAGCUGCAUUUAAAGUAUGGCUCUACUGUGAAAAAUUACUCUAGAAAGUUGCAUUGUGGGAUUCCACCUGUAUUGUGUCAUAGUGAUUUCUAUUUCAAAUGUGUUCAGGUUACAAGUUAGAGAUUUGUUUUCCCUCUCUACCUGCUAGUCCUAUAAGCUCAACUUGGGGUCUGAGAGUCAAGUGGGGUUCCUUACCUCUAGCAUAUCACCACCCAUAGUUGAGGUUUUGGAAGCCAACUGAGGCUCUCAUACACUUGUACAUUACUAUGAGACUGAACAAAUGUAACCCAGUAGAGUUUAGUGAGCAAUUCUCUUGAGGUAUGAAUAGAAUCCAUCUCACUCCCCCGCAGUUGUGCUGGCUCCAAAGUUAACUGCCGUAAAAUAAUACGAAACAUUCCACACGAUGCUAGUUAAGCUGAUAUGACUGAAUAGACCAGGUAGGGACUAAGAAGGGUCAUUUUACAUAGCCCAUCGACUUACCUUACUCUUCUCAUCGGGGGUAGAGUACAGGGGUCGACUGGAGAGCGGUCUGCUAUUGAUUAGCGGAUCUUCACUAGACCCGCUAAAUCGACUACCAGUGGAUCGAUCUCAGAGCAUCGAUCCCGGCUGUGGUGUAAACCUGCCCUGAAAUUUAUACUAGUGGAGUAGCUUCACCAAUGUAGCUAUACCAAUACAACCCACUAGAUGCAUUGUACCAGUGUAAACUGUCACUUGCCCUGGGACAGCUUAUGCAUACCCACACCUCCACACAGAAUAAUUUGAAAUGGCAAUGAACUAAACAUGUAUGUACAGCCAUAUCCAGACCAUUAUAUAAAUACACAUAUAUGCACACAGGUAGGCCAUGCCCUCAGAAACAUUUCCAUUCCACUCAGGUAACUUUGUGCUACCAUCACCCCUAAGCCCUGAACCUUUCAAUCACCCCCACAGUUCAGUUAUAUUAUCCAUAACAAUAAGCUUCAGGGCACAUGUAGUAGGUACUUUACGUACAUGGUAACCAGUGGGCACUGAAAUAUGGUUGUCACCUGCCCUCAUUUGAUGAAGACAAUACCAGUUGUAGUCUUUGUCCCAGAGCAAUCUAGCAAUGGGAUCCAAAAGUCCCCAUGUUCCUCCCUCAGCAAAUCUGUAUCUACAGGACAAUAAAGUGGUGAAUCUUAGUUUCUGCAGAGGGGGACUCCAAGUCAAAAUGUAACAUGUGGGUGUCUGUGCACGCAUAUGAGAGGAUAAAGGAUGGUUGGGGACUAUCAUCCUGCUUAGCUACCAGUACUUGUCAU